GAAUUCGCCCUUAGAGUUUGAUUCUGGCUCAGGAUGAACGCUGGCGGCGUGCCUAACACAUUCAAGUCGAACGGAGAAGGAGGAGCUUGCUCCUCCGGAUCAGUGGCGGACGGGUGAGUAACGCGUGAGCAACCUGCCUGUGUGAGGGGAAUAACAGUGGGAAACUACUGCUAAUACCGCAUAAAGCAACGGGAACGCAUGUUUUUGUUGCCAAAGAUUUAUCGCACACAGAUGGGCUCGCGUUGGAUUAGAUAGUUGGUAAGGUAACGGCUUACCAAGUCAACGAUCCAUAGCCGGACUGAGAGGUUGAACGGCCACAUUGGAACUGAGAAACGGUCCAGACUCCUACGGGAGGCAGCAGUGAGGAAUAUUGGGCAAUGGGGGAAACCCUGACCCAGCGACGCCGCGUGAGGGAAGACGGUCUUCGGAUUGUAAACCUCUUUCAGCAGGGAAGAUAAUGACGGUACCUGCAGAAGAAGCCACGGCUAACUACGUGCCAGCAGCCGCGGUAAUACGUAGGUGGCAAGCGUUAUCCGGAAUUAUUGGGUGUAAAGGGUGUGUAGGCGGGGCAGCAAGUCAGACGUGAAAAUUAUGGGCUCAACCCAUAACCUGCGUCAGAAACUGCAGUUCUUGAGUAUGGGAGAGGUAAGCGGAAUUCCUGGUGUAGCGGUGGAAUGCGUAGAUAUCAGGAAGAACACCGGUGGCGAAGGCGGCUUACUGGACCAUAACUGACGCUGAGACACGAAAGCGUGGGGAGCAAACAGGAUUAGAUACCCUGGUAGUCCACGCAGUAAACGAUGAAUACUAGCUGUUGGCGAUAUAGUGUCAGCGGUACAGCGAAAGUGUUAAGUAUUCCACCUGGGGAGUACGCCGGCAACGGUGAAACUCAAAGGAAUUGACGGGGGCCCGCACAAGCGGAGGAACAUGUGGUUUAAUUCGAUGAUACGCGAGGAACCUUACCCGGGCUUGAAAGUUAGUGACAGACCCUAAAAGGGGUCCUUCCUUCGGGACACGAAACUAGGUGCUGCAUGGUUGUCGUCAGCUCGUGCCGUGAGGUGUCGGCUUAAGUGCCAUAACGAGCGCAACCCUUGUCGUUAGUUACCAGCGGGUAGUGCCGGGAACUCUAGCGAUACUGCUACUGUAAGGUAGAGGAAGGUGGGGAUGACGUCAAAUCAGCACGGCCCUUACGUCCGGGGCGACACACGUGUUACAAUGGUCGGUACAGAGGGUUGCUACCCUGCGAAGGGAUGCUAAUCUUAUAAAGCCGAUCUCAGUUCGGACUGGAGUCUGCAACUCGACUCCACGAAGCUGGAUUCGCUAGUAAUCGCGCAUCAGCCAUGGCGCGGUGAAUACGUUCCCGGGCCUUGCACACACCGCCCGUCA
rnacentral:rRNA from 1 species